AGCUGUAAACCUUGGAGCAGCCAUUUAUUGCCACACACUGAACUAACCAAACCAGCCAAAACUGGCUGGGCUAUCCCCUAAUAGUCUAACUCAGUUGCCAGAGCAACAACAAGAUUCUGUUACCACGACAACCAAAUACACAACACCCCACUAUCCCAGUAUUUGUCUGUAACCAGCCCUGGGUGCUGGGACAAGGGAGAGGAAGAUAACCUGCACCUGCAAUCUUACCCUGUCUGUGUGCUCCUGUCUCUGGUUCAGAUAGCAGAGUGUCUGGAGAUGGAAAGGAUAAAAGAGAGGUGUGAAACAGGGAAGUUCCAGCAGCUGGAGGACACGUCUCCUGAUCUGGAAAUCAGUCUUGGUUAUUGGUGCCAAGAAAACCGGUGCUCUGAAGGAGACUGAGGAAAAUCAAAGAAGAGGUGAAGUCAGACCCGUCAACUGCAGAUGUGUCCUGAGGACU